GAAGGGCAACAUCGGGGCAGAGCCAUGCAUCCCACUGAAGGCUUAGACACUGGGUCUUACAUGAACGGUUUCCAAAUGUUCUGUUUGUGCAGGUGUAAUGGACUUCCUCUCUACUGACAUUUCACUUUCAAAGCAGAAGAUGUUUAGUCUGGUGACAUUUGUUGAUACGCCUGAACUUGUGAAUGGAGAUUCGCAUUAUCCAUUUGAUGUCAAUGAGGCAAUUCUUUGGCUUGGAAACAUGGUUGUCCUGAUAUUCACAUUCUUUGAUCAAAUUGGGCAGGCACUGUGUAGAUGGACCCUGAAUCUGGUGGACAGACUUAAUUCUGCUCAUGCCAAGAAGAUGCACUUCUGUCUAUCGAAGGCAGGUGAUGUUGGUAAUAAAUCCAAUAGACGAAGCAAACAUGGUGUGUAAACCAAAUAGAGGAGGUAUGUCAGGACAUGGAAUGCACCAUCAGAACACAUUGCGUGCACUGGAGCAAGACUGUGAAACCAUUAUGUUGCUGAUAGAAAAGCGUCAAGAACAGGACAGUGUGUACUGCAGUUAUAACUUCAGGACUUACAGUACAGUUAUAAUGCUGGGAGCCAAGAUGGCCAUCCUCUCACUGCAUUUCAUCCUGGAUGUGCUCGUGACUGUCCCCAACAGGACCUUGCUGCACUCUGUGCUUGCUGUCAGUUUCACAGACAGCCUUUUAACAUAUUUUUUUCCAGUCUCCAUAAUGUGAUCAAUGCUUCCAAACAGAUUCCAAUGGAUUGUAUUGCUGAUUGUUGUAAUUGGUUGAGGGGGGCCUCUUAAUCUUCUGCAAAUGGUCCCUGUGACUGCAACUGACACUCUCUCAGAAACACAAGAGACAGUUCCUCGAGAUGAGGGAACAUGUGGAAAAAGUAGUGAAGGCAAAAAAGAGCGUGGGUGUCCAAGACCUGUGAAGAAAAUUAAUGACAUUUGGCCUUUCAACACUGCAACAUUUGUCAUGACAUACUUCAGAAUGCGUGAAGGGAGUUUAAUUAACUUCCAUGGCAGACCACAGUAUUUUAGAUUGUGCAUAGUUUCAUAUUUUGUUAUUGUCUGAUAAUACUAUACUAUUUUUAUUGUAAUCAGGACUUCUGAGUGUGAUGCAUAUAUUUCUGAUGGAAUCAAACUGAAAGCAGUCUAGGGAGACAGGAUCACAAGGCUUUGCUUCAUUUACAUGAAUGCAUAAGAUGAUUCAUAAUAAGAAGGUCAUACUUGUUCAUUUGUAUAUUUCAUCUUGUCUGGUGAAUUUCAUUUUGAUUCUUCUGGUGCAUGUGAAUGCCUUUAUGUGAAACUUCAAACUUAAUUUCUCAGAAAUAGAUCAUUGUGUUAAAAGUGGUACAUGAUAUUAAGUUGUAAAAUCAUUAACUGUAUCUUUUUAAAUUAAUAAACCCAUUAGUUAUAAUUUUCA